GUUGCACUUGUGUCCUUUUACUUUACAACUAAAACAAUUUAAUUUGUAAUAAUGCUUAUGAACAACAUACUUGCUCUUCAAUGUUAAGAGAUAGAGAGAUAGAGAGAGAGAUACAGAGAUAGCUUAUAAUGGCAAACUAUAUACAAAUUUUUUUUCAAGUAGUUUUUUAUAAUUUAAAUGAAUGUGCAUUCAAAAUGCAUGCAAACCCUAAGAAAAUUCCCCCAAAAAGCCAUGUUGACCAAAGAUGGAGCAAGAAGAGUAGUGUGGAAGUAAUUAUAAGUAAGAUUUAAACAUUUAUGCAUUAAACCACUGUACAUCAGGGAAUAACAUCAGAAGAAAAAUUAUUAUACACAAGAACUAUGCAAAGGAGACAAAAGGUGUACAAAAAACUUGUAUGGUGGCAAAAAGAAUUCCAUAGUUCUAUUACAAUAAAGCAAUAAACACAAGAAUAAGGUUGUUUAAAAUUAUGCAAUAGCGUGAUAUAAGCAAUACUCAUGCAAAUAAAAAAAAACUGUCCUAAUUAUGAAUCAACAGAAAUACAAAAUAAGCAAUGAAAGCAAUAAAAAAAAAAGCAAGUCAUCUGAGGUGAGUAGGACAGGGUGUACUACAGGGUACAGAGCAGGUGACAGGGUGUACUACAGGGUACAGAGCAGACGACAGGGUGUACUACAGGGUACAGAGCAGACGACAGGGUGUACUACAGGGUACAGAGCAGACGACAGGGUGUACUACAGGGUACAGAGCAGACGACAGGGUGUACUACAGGGUACAGAGCAGUCAUCUGAA